GCCCUUCUGACCCAAUUGGCAGAGGUGCCGGAUUCAAACCCCGGAUGUUGCUGGUUCGACCCCAGCGGAGGGCA
rnacentral:tRNA from 1 species